AACGCGAAGAACCUUACCUACCCUUGACAUCCCACGAAUCCUGCAGAGAUGCGGGAGUGCCGAAAGGAAUGUGGAGACAGGUGCUGCAUGGCUGUCGUCAGCUCGUGUUGUGAGAUGUUGGGUUAAGUCCCGUAACGAGCGCAACCCUUAUCCUUAGUUGCCAACAUGUAAUGAUGGGGACUCUAAGGAGACUGCUGGUGAAGAACCGGAGGAAGGCGGGGACGACGUCAAGUCAUCAUGGCCUUUAUGGGUAGGGCUACACACGUGCUACAAUGGGGCGAACAGAGGGAAGCGAACCUGCGAAGGGGAGCGAAUCCUAUAAACCGCCUCGUAGUCCGGAUUGGAGUCUGCAACUCGACUCCAUGAAGUUGGAAUCGCUAGUAAUCGCGAAUCAGAACGUCGCGGUGAAUACGUUCCCGGGCCUUGUACACACCGACGCGUA
rnacentral:rRNA from 1 species